AAGGGCCGGCCAACCCGGUGCCAGCCGCCGCGGCUACACCGCUGGGGCCCAAGCUGACCAUUAUCUGCGUUGAUUGUGAUUAAAGUAAAGAUAAAUUAGAGUUAAAUUAAAGCUUAGCUGUGAAAAGCUUGCAACCUAGAAAUCCAAAAACGAAAGUUAUUCUAAUUAAUACUUGAAUACACGACAGUUUGGGUACAAACUGAGAUUAGUAGAUACCCCACUAU
rnacentral:rRNA from 1 species